AACCGAAACUUCGUCGGCACAUUUUUGUCGAUGUACCGUCGACCUAAUCACACUGAUUACUUCUCACCCUCUAUUCAUCUUCUAACCCUAAUUCCUCCACCACCGUUCAACAAUCCAAUUACGCCAUCGCCGCCUCCUCACCGUCUUCUCCGAUGUCCGACGACGAUCUCGUCGCCAGUCCAUCCUCGAAUAACAAUUCUCCGUCGCCGUCUCCAUCGCCUCCACCGUCUUCUGUAAAGAAUGAACUAGCAACUCUUCCUCCGCCACCGAUGAUCCCGCCGGCGUCGACUCGUCCGGCUGCAUUUCCGGCUCGCGAGGACUGUUGGUCGGAGGCGGCGACUCAUACUCUGAUCGAAGCGUGGGGUUCUCUCUAUGUGGAGCUGAAGCGCGGUAAUCUCCGGCAGAAGCACUGGCAGGAGGUGGCUAACGCCGUUAACAAACUUCACGGCAACACGAAGAAGCAAUUUCGCACCGAUAUACAGUGCAAAAACCGCAUUGAUACAUUGAAGAAGAAGUACAAGAUCGAGAAAGCUAGGGUUUCUCAAUCGCACAGUCGGUAUGUCCCGCAGUGGCCAUUUUUCAACAGCCUCGACGUCCUGAUCGGCGAUAAUUUCAAACCAUCGCCGUUGCCGGUGACGGUCGCUCCUCGACGGAAGACACCUCCGUUGCUUCCUCCUCCAACUUCCGCCGUUCCGGUUGGUCCACGGUCAAAGAGGCCGGCGGCAGUCAUGGAGGACGUCGUUUCCCGGAGAAAUUUCUCUGCUAUGGCUGCAGCUGCAGCUGCUGCUGCCUCCGAGGAUUCAGACGAAGAGGAGGAAUCGGAAACUUCAAGUCCGGCGACAUUUACUGCCAGUGCUCCAAGUAGGAGGAAGGAGAGUGGGGCAUUGGCAGAGGGUUGUAGCAGGUUAGCUGAAGCAAUAGGAAGGUUUGCCGAGAUAUACGAACGAGUUGAAGAUGCUAAGCAGAGGCAAAUGGUGGAAUUAGAGAAGCAAAGAAUGCAGUUUGCAAAGGAUUUGGAGAUUCAAAGAAUGAAACUUAUUAUGGAGUCACAAGUUCAGCUUGAAAAGCUUAAACGCGCGAAGAACAGUUCACAAGCUGCCGUCUAGGAGUUGAUGCAUAAAUUUUCGGAUAUGAGUUAGUUAUCAAGAAGGUUAACUGAUCUGAAGAUAUAUAUAAGAUGGUUACUUGUACAAGGAAUGUUGAGUAGAAGAGUGCAUUUUUUCCACGAAUCUUUCGGAGGUGAUACAUAUAUUUUGGUUAAACCUUGCCAAGAGUAUACUAGUUUUAUUGAAGAUGAGCGGUAGAUACUAGUUUUAGGCUUGAUUUUUAAUGUACUUUUUCUUUGAGACUUGAAAAAGAGUUUGUAACUUAUUUCUGUGUAAAGUGAUUUGCCUAAGCCAGACCCUCAUCCCAGUCUUUGUUACAUUCCGACUUUAAGCUUGCUUUCUUUCUUUCUUUCUUUCUUGAUUGAUCUCGUGUGAAUCGAAUCAUGAAGUUCCUGUUUCCA